UGAGCAAUCUGCCCUUCUCUUCGGAAUAAGCGUUGGAAACGACGUCUAAUGCCGAAUACGACCUCCUUUCGCAUGAUCGGAGGUGGAAAGCUCCGGCGGAGAAGGAUGAGCUCGCGGCCUAUCAGCUAGUUGGUGUGGGUAAUGGCCCACCAAGGCGACGACGGGUAGCCGGCCUGGAGGAGGGCGACCGGCCACACUGGGACUGAGACACGGCCCAGACU
rnacentral:rRNA from 1 species